AUCUAAUUGUUUUUUUUUUUUUUUUUAUCAAUAAGUAAAACACACUAAAGCAAUUUCUCCUUAAACUUGUAGAUUUGCUCCAUGACUAAGGACAGUUUCUUGUAUGUUCCCUCCCCUUUCAUGUCCCAUGUCUAGUCCUAGGAUUUCUAAUGCAAAAACGGUCAAAAUUUCAGGCUUGCCUAGUAUCUCUGGGGAUGGGCUUUGAGGUUCAAACACACAAGCCAGACCAGACCCAGUGUCUGUCUGUCUGUCUGUCUGUCUGUCUCGGCACCCUCUUUCUACUGCCUGCAGAUACAGAUACAGAAUGCUCAUCUACCUCCCCAGCAUGCUGUCAUGCUUCCUGCCAUGACAAUAAUGGAUCAUGGACUAAACCUCUGAACUGUAAGCCAGCCCCAGCUAACUGCUUUCUUUUAUAAGAGUUACUGUGGUCAUGGUGUCUUUUCACAGCAAUGGAACCCCUAAGACAUGUUCAAUCCCCAGUACAAUAAUAAAAUAAAAUAAAAUAAGAUUUAGGUGAGAUGUUGAUAUUUAUAUCCCAAUCUUAAUCACGUUCAUGCCUAUGUGGAUGUGGUCCUAUUCCAGUAGUGAUUCCAAAGCUUAAGUUUCUCUCAUGUGUUUGUGGGAAAGACAAAAGAAAAUGUGGUAAGAGAUUCAGCUUUGCCUCAGACAUGUAAACCUGCAGGACAGUGGAGACCUAGCGCUGAACACUGCCACCACCAGCACCUUUGGCUUCAGAAGUGUGUUCCUGGAAGAAACGAGGAAAAAAGGAAACGCUAAAUUCUCUUCUCUCCACUGGAUCUGGAGGGAGAUCUCUCACCUAUAUCCAGAUAGCCUCACUUGUCACCCAUGUUGCUUUAAGUUGUAGAAAUACGCAGGCAUGGACCUAAAGCCCAGCUUGACCUCCUGGGUUGUACAGAGGGAUUCCUUUUUAUGGGUCUUACCUAGUUCUUUGGUUGAAACUACCAAAGGUAAUUCAAAGGUAAAAGGUAUAGAAAUUACCUUCUUCAGACGCUCCAUAGGGAAAAGUCAGAGGCCAGAAGUUUCAAAGCAAGAUUGCAAAAUAUAUGACACAUAUAAGAAGAAAAUGUACCCCCAAAAGGACUGGGGAUGCAGCUCGUUCUGUAAAGCGCUUACGUGAGGACCAAAGACUUUGGGUCCUGGAAUCCAUGCAAAGGUGCCAGGUCGGUUAGCACACACUUGUGAACCAAGUUCUGGGGAGGCACAGCUCCCCAGCCUCAUAGCCUGUACCACUUGAUGACUUCCAGUCUAGGAAAUCAUUCUGCCAGGAAAAACAAGUGGGACAAAGGUCAAACUGUCUGAGGAACAUCAUUCAAUGUUGUCCUGUGGCCUCCACAGUCUUGUGUGCACUCAUGUGCACGUGAACUCUCAGACACAUGCACCCACACAAAAACAUGCAUGUGCAUGCACAAAUAUCUCCAGAAUGCAAAGCAGAGUGCAAGGCUGUGCUUGAGACAAAAGUAUUAUUCAAGAGGAGUGGUUUAUGCUGUGGGGCGAGUCAUAAAAGAAGUCUCAUAAUGAACUCAGGGCCAUCGAAAAGAGAGGACUCACACUUUCACAAAAUAGAAAAUGGAAGAGUAGACUACCUGGUGUCAGGCAAGGAAAGUUUCUUAUGUAGUUAUUAUUCCUGGUAGCUGUCCUGACAUGCAUUAUGUAAAAAUGAACAGCGUUUGAUUGAAAAGCAUUUCAAUAAACUAGGAAAU
rnacentral:lncRNA from 1 species